rnacentral:tRNA from 1 species
GGCCGGGUGGCGGAAUGGUUUACGCGGAGGACUUAAAAUCCUUGACCAGAAAUGGUUUGUGGGUUCGACUCCCACCCCGGGCA